UACGUAGGGGGCUAGCGUUGUCCGGAAUCAUUGGGCGUAAAGCGCGCGUAGGCGGCCCGGUAAGUCCGCUGUAAAAGUCCAGGGCUCAACCCUGGAACGCCGGUGGAUACUGUCGGGCUAGAGUCCGGAAGAGGAGAGUGGAAUUCCUGGUGUAGCGGUGAAAUGCGCAGAUAUCAGGAAGAACACCCGUGGCGAAGGCGGCUCUCUGGGACGGUACUGACGCUGAGACGCGAAAGCGUGGGGAGCGAACAGG
rnacentral:rRNA from 1 species